CUAGCGAAGAGGCAGAAUCAUUGGGUUCAUAUAUUAAAAGAUCCGAAUGGCCGACUAUAUAGGACCUAUGACCCUGAGGCUUACAAAGUUACAGUACCAACAGUAGCAUAGCAGAUGCUAUGGAAUCAUCGAAAUGCCACUUCAACUGUUUCCCACUAAAACGAUUAUUUGACUCAUCUUUCAGGAACUCUACCACUUGCUAACCUCAUCAAAAUAAUCUUUCGCUUCGCCUUGUUUCUCUUUUUUUUUGUGACGCCAACAAGUGUGGCACUUGAUCUUUUCCUUGCCACUUGCCAGGACACUCGGAUUGUGAUUGAGUGUGCAAGAGAGCCCGGGGCCCGUUGGCAGCAGCCCGGAGUAUAAGAGAGAACCAGAGAACUCAUCGCACAUGCUGACCAACGUCCUGAUGCCUUUUGUUUGGUCAUUUUUGGGGGAGUGUGAGUGAUGGAAAUUUCGAUGAUGUCCAUUCAACAAUGCGAGUUUAUUGAGGAGUAGCAAAAGGAAUUUAAUUUUGUGCGAAACUUUUCCUAGGAGGGGGCAAGGACACUAUUGUCAUCAGUGGAGCAUCAGCUGUCCCUCGGCUAUCCUACUCCUCCUACUUCUGAUUCUGCUGCUUCUCUCUUUAUGCAUCUGACAUUGGAUAGAUAAAACCCAAUUUGUUGCAAAUAAAAUAAAAAACAAUGCCGGCAAGCAAA